GAGGAAAGCUCUCUCUAAGGACAGAUAAAAGCGUUUCAGGUCUGGGUAACGUCUCUGCCUGCAUUGCUCUUCUGGCAGAGUCUGCUCGCGCAGAGAGAUGUGAGGCACUUUGCUCCUGCCUAAAGCAGGGCCUUGCUUCCUGAGCCUGAGAAUCAGGUCUGCGGUACGCACUCGUACAUGCUGCAGCUGGUAUCAGAUGCAUAUUGAAAAAUUCAGCACAGACACAGAAUAUGGACUGCUCUGCACUUCUAAAGGAAUUAUGACUUGAAAUUCAUGCUGCUACUGUUCUUUUAAGGCUGUUCAGGCACAACAGGGAGGACUGAACUGGACA
rnacentral:lncRNA from 1 species